rnacentral:rRNA from 1 species
AUUGAACGCUGGCGGCAGGCCUAACACAUGCAAGUCGAGCGAGCGGCGGACGGGUGAGUAAUAUAUGGGAACUCCCCGUUAGCGGGGGAUAACUACUGGAAACGGUGGCUAAUCCCGCAUCCUAUCGGAUAACCCAUAUGGGAUUAGCUAGUAGGUGGGGUAAAGGCUCACCUAGGCGACGAUCUCUAGCUGGUCUGAGAGGAUGAUCAGCCACACUGGGACUGAGACACGGCCCAGACUCCUACGGAGGCAGCAGUGGGGAAUAUUGGACAAGGGGCGCAAGCCUGAUGCAGCCAUGCCGCGUGUAUGAAGAAGGCCUUAGGGUUGUAAAGUACUUUCAGCGGGGAGGCGGUACCUGCAGAAGAAGCACCGGCUAACUCCGUGCCAGCAGCCGCGGUAAUUC